UUAGUACUCCCUCCGUCCAAAAAUACUUGUCGGACAAAUGAAUGUAUCUAGAUGUAUUUUAGUUGUAGAUACAUCUAUUUUUAUCCAUUUCUCCGACAAGUAUUUUGGGACGGAGGGAGUACAAU
rnacentral:pre_miRNA from 1 species